GUACUGGGGAAUCAAACCCAGGUCUUCAUGCAUGCUAGGCAAGCACUCUACCACUAGGCCAUAUUCCCAGCACCACCACCACCCUUUUUUUUAGACAAGGUCUUACUACUAUGUAACACAAACUGGCUUCCCAAGUGCUGGGAUUUGAGGCAUACACUACUAUGCCUAGUUUUUAUUUAAUAUUUUUAAAAGCAAUGUUAUAUGGAAAUUGUCCCAAAAUAGUAAGGGGAAUUAAGUGCCUAACAUCUUGCAUUAUAUUCUCAAGAGCUGCACCAUAAUUAAAGAAUUUGUAAGAGUGAUUCUUUGAAUAAUCAGAAGGGUAAUACUUUCUAAGUCAGUUUGGUGGAUUAUACUUGUAACCCCAGCUAAAUGGCAGGCAAAGAUCAGAAGUAUCAUGGUUCUACGGCUAGGUUAGGCAAAAGUUAUCAAGAUAUCAUCUCAGCAAAUAUGUCAAGCAUGGUGGUGCAGAGUUGUGAUUCCAGCUACACAGGUAGGUAUUGUUAGAACUAAUAUCUAGUAAUUGACCUAAGAACAAAUCUGAGGCUGUCUUUAGGUACUGAGACACUGUCUAAACAAUAACUAAAGCAAAAGAGACUGGAGUGUGGCUCAAAUGGAAGAGCAUCUAUUAAUAAGCACUAGGCCCUAAGUUCAAAUCCCAGUUGAAAUAACCUGAG